GCCAGGCAUGGCGGUGCAUGCCUGUAGUCCCAGCUACUCAGGAGGCUGAGGCAGGAGAAUCACUUGAACCCAGGAGGCAGAGGCUGUAGUGAGCUGAGAUCGCACCACUGCACUCCAGCCUGGGUGACAGAGUGAGACUCUGUCUCAA
ensembl:misc_RNA Metazoa_SRP Metazoan signal recognition particle RNA